UUCCCCAUUUUUCUUCUAACAUUUCUCCGAUCGCCCAUCACCGACCAGGCAAUUCGCUGUAAUGAAAUUCUCGAGACUCGGUUGCUCUUUUCCUCGCGCUGUCCGUGCUUAAUUGCAGAGAGUAAUUUCGUUUCUCCUCUUUUAUCUCUUUCUUCAUUGCCCAUAGUUUUGAUUCUGUGCACUGUUAAAUUGUGUAAGAAUGUCGUAUCCAGUAAAUGUAAUGCAAGGACUCUGUUGUGAAAAAAAUGAGUAUUCCAAAGGCAGAGAGACGAGAAGCCGAGGCUGCUGAAGUUAUCUUACACUGUGAUUUUGGUGCGAUAAUCAUUAUUGUUGUUCAAAGUGAACUUUUAGUAGUUGGAGGAGGGGUUUCUUUUGCAGUCGUACUCAAAUUCGUGAAGCUUAACUUGAAAUAUAUUAUGUUGUUGUUCAUGUGCUUGCUAUAGCCUGAAUACGUGCUUGGUUUUUGGAUAUAUUCCCUCUCAGGCGAAAUGCCUAAAGCAGAACGUUCGUUAUUUGGUUGUUUAUCCAACUUUUAUUGUCUUUCCGUUCUUAUCUGCUAAAUAAAUCUGGAGUCAUGUGUGUUGAAACAACUUAGUUAGUUAUGAACAGUUAGCUACUUGGAAAACUUGGCAAUGUAGGGUUAAUUUUUGCACUUGUCGUAAUUGUUCAUAUAAAUAAGGUACCGAUUUAUUUGAAUGUUGCUGUUUUAGGAUGUUCUCAUGGUCAUUGAUCGACAAUGCAAAUCUCUUUCUUUUUCGCUGUGCGUAGUUAUGGUGUGGUGUUAAUACUUUGUAAUUUCUAUUCUAUAUUGACAUUGGAAUCCUUGUAGGAUUGAAAUUUCUUUGUGAUUCUUAGGGGCAUUCUUCUGCAGGUGACUCUGGGGAAUUCCCAUUAAUUUAUGAGCUUUUUCAGAAUGUAAUUACUGUAUUAUUUUCACUAGAAUUUUAUAUUCACCCAUGAGGAGCGGCAGAUAAGAAAUUUUAGCUCCUCCCCCCAGUUCGUCCUCGACAGCUGUUUGAGUUGUUUAUCAGACAAUCUUUUAGUCAUUUGAUGCGUUUAAAACAGACUGGUCUAAUUUCUGAGUUUCUCCUUCAAUAUUGUCUCUACGACAUCUGUCUGUGCCAUCUAAGAACUUGUUCAGUUCUUGCCUCAUUUGGAAAUUCAGGAUUUAUUUUUUGAGGUUGGGGGCAAAGAUGGGCAUUAAGAACUCAAUAUAUGCUUGAAAGUCAACUUCCUACAAUUAGUCUUUGUGAAAUUUCUGUAAAAGGAAUUUAAAGCAUGAAAUUUUGAAUUGUUCUUACUGCAGUAUGUUCCUUGUAUAUAUACCCUGUAAGAGAGUUAGCAGUCUAUGGCAUGAUCAAAUGCGAGCUAAUGCAUUAUAAACACCUAGCGAAAAACGAACUUACCACCCAGAAAAUUCACAAAUAUUGCGUCUCCUAAGGACCUAUGGGGAUAGACAUGGCAUUAUUCGUAAGAUGAUUUCUUGGAAGUUGGUGUCUUUUUAUGGUAAUUGUGUUUGCGUUUUUCCAAUCUGUGCUUUUUAGAAGUUUCCUGGCAACUGUUUGAUGUAUUCUUCAUAUUGUUUUCAAGAGUUUAAAAACUAGUUCCUUGAAUCUGGUUUGGGGGGUAGACUUGUUAUUUCCAAGAAUUCAGUUGCAAAAGCAUUUGUAAGAAGCUUACAGAAACAAGAAUUACAAACCGAUGUUGAUACCACAGAUGGUCCUACUAGUGUUACGAGUUGCAGAAGAAAUUUAAGCCAAGAAGUCAGGGAGUCUUGAACCUUUUGAGGAGAAGCUGGAGGAAGCCCGAGACUUCUUAGGAGUAGAUCCCCAUAAUUAUGUUUCCUUAAGUUAUGUGGAUGAAGUGAAUUGAUAUCAUGAAUUGAUUAGGUUUUUGCGCCAACAUCCUUGAAUGUGCUAUCCUUCUGUUUUUGGGCCAAAGAAAAAAGAGUGGCUUUGGAGGUCCUAGAAGAUAAGGUGGCCAUAGAGUAUUUAAUGUGGGAAAAGCAAAUGUUACAAGCAUAGAUAAGAACACAUAGAGACACGGCUAGUAAGGGGUAGAGAUUGAUUUUUCUUUGGAUUACUUUUGUGCUCAUUAUUUCUUUUCUCUGAAAAAUGAAAAUAAAGGCGUCACUUCAAUACCAUUUUGAUUUUUAUUUGCUGAACCAGGUGGUUUUUAAAGAUAUAGCUGGCUGAUGAGGCAAACUAAAAACGUGAAAGUACUGUAAACCACAAUUGUGUUUGUGCUUUAAAUUUGGAAACAAAUAACAAAGCAUUUGAGGAGGCUGUGAUGAACGGAAAAUGUACUCUAAACCAGUUGCUUGAGGAAAUGUAUGGAUACAGAACCACGAUUUGUGCUUGCUUGACAUAAAUAUGCCUGAUAUUUUGGACAAAACAUUGUUAAGGCCUGGUCGGUUCGAUCAUCAAAUUAGAAUUGAUAAAAACUUUCGAUGUUAAAGUUCGUGAUCAGAUCUAUCCAGACAAGCUGAGCUGCUCUGGUUGAUGCCAGGAAUGAGAGCUCACAGGUAAAGAUGGAACAACUUGUAGCAGCUAUGGAUAUAGUAUUUGAUAGUUUGGAAGAAGAAGGUGCGAUGGAUUGCUGUUUGCAAAAACUUCAUAUUCUUAAGCUGCACUUUUUUCUAUGUUCUUAAAGAAAGCCAAUAUAUGCAUGAUUCCUAGUUGGAAUCUCCAUUUGCUUGGUCAGUUAGUUCUAUUCCUGGAAAUGGAUGGAUACACAUGAUGAUGUGAGUUCUAUUCUUGGCUUUUCUAGUUUUCUUUUCAUUCGAGUAAUCAGUAUGUUGCUUUACUUGUCCUGCUGAUUCUCAUUAUUUCAUUUUUACAAUUGAUCGGAAGUAUGAUAAAAACUAUAAACUAGCAUUUCAUUACCAUCACUUUGUUGACUAACUAGUUUUAUAUAGCGACGAGAUGGAAAGAAAAUAAUGUUUUUCUGCCCUAGGGUUAUAAGUUUGAUAGAAAGGAGGACUAUGGCUCACCAUGUAUCUGGUCAUACGCUGUAGCUGGUUGGUCUUUUGAACAUGCAGAACCCUUGCUUAAUGUUAAAAUCCUUCCAUGUGGGACUGCAUCAUUUGGAUAUGCCCAGUAUGUUCAAUGAAAAUCUUUGAUGACAAAAGGAGCAGCUUUUUGAUAUCACUUGCAUGACACUGGGUGGUUGGGCUACUGAGCAGGUUUGAAGCUUAGAGACAAAACGGGGGCAUGCAGCUGAGCCGUUCGUAGUGGAGUUCAAGACUUUUUAUCGUAUUACUAUUUGCUUUUGAAGAACACAGCAAAACUUAGGGUUUGUUUUUUUGUAUAAAAGUAGU